rnacentral:rRNA from 1 species
AGAAUCAACGCUGGCGGCGUGCCUAACACAUGCAAGUCGCACGAGAAAGCGGACUUCGGUCUGUGAGUAAAGUGGCGCACGGGUGAGUAACACGUGAAUAAUCUACCUUCGAGUGGGGAAUAACUGAGAGAAAUCUUAGCUAAUACCGCAUAACACUUACGAGUCAAAGCAGCAAUGCGCUUGAAGAGGAGUUCGCGGCAGAUUAGUUAGUUGGCGGGGUAAUGGCCCACCAAGGCGAUGAUCUGUAUCCGGCCUGAGAGGGCGCACGGACACACUGGAACUGAAACACGGUCCAGACUCCUACGGGAGGCAGCAGUGGGGAAUUUUGCGCAAUGGGGGAAACCCUGACGCAGCAACGCCGCGUGGAGGAUGAAAUCCCUUGGGAUGUAAACUCCUUUCGAUCGGGAAGAUAAUGACGGUACCGAGAGAAGAAGCCCGGCUAACUUCGUGCCAGCAGCCGCGGUAA